rnacentral:misc_RNA from 1 species
UAUCUCUCCUAUACCAAUAUUUGUUGGAAUAGGGACUUGGGGUCUUCUCGUCGGAAAUUAACUCGUUUAAUACCCGGUGAACCCUUUAAAUAUAGCAAGCUCCCAUCUUUUAUCGGAAAUACGCAAACUUGGGGAUGGCGUCGUAGCAAUCACUCUUAUCAGUAUUGUCGAAGCGCCUAUUCAUACCUCUAAUCUGCGGUGCUAAUCCUUUUUCGGUGGGUGAAGCUUGGCGACUGGCAAAGUGCCAUGCUCCCUUAUUUGGAGUACACGAACAA